UAGGGAAUCUUCCACAAUGGGCGAAAGCCUGAUGGAGCAACGCCGCGUGUGUGAUGAAGGGUUUCGGCUCGUAAAACACUGUUGUAAGAGAAGAAUGACAUUGAGAGUAACUGUUCAAUGUGUGACGGUAUCUUACCAGAAAGGGACGGCUAAAUACGUGCCAC
rnacentral:rRNA from 1 species